rnacentral:rRNA from 1 species
AAUAAUAUACUGACGCUGAUGGACGAAAGCGUAGGUAGCGAACAGGAUUAGAUACCCUGGUAGUCCACGCCGUAAACGAUGUCGACCAGCCGUUGGGUGCCUAGCGCACUUUGUGGCGAAGUUAACGCGAUAAGUCGACCGCCUGGGGAGUACGGCCGCAAGGUUAAAACUCAAAUGAAUUGACGGGGGCCCGCACAAGCGGUGGAGCAUGUGGUUUAAUUCGAUGCAACGCGAAGAACCUUACCUACUCUUGACAUCCUGCGAACUUGUGAGAGAUCACUUGGUGCCUUCGGGAGCGCAGAGACAGGUGCUGCAUGGCUGUCGUCAGCCCGUGUUGUGAAAUGUUGGGUUAAGUCCCGUAACGAGCGCAACCCUUGUCCUUAUUUGCCAGCACGUAAUGGUGGGAACUCUAAGGAGACUGCCGGUGACAAACCGGAGGAAGGUGGGGACGACGACAAGUCAUCAUGGCCCUUACGAGUAGGGCUACACACGUGCUACAAUGGCCGGUACAAAGGGCUGCGAGCUCGCGAGAGUCAGCGAAUCCCUUAAAGCCGGUCUCAGUCCGGAUCGGAGUCUGCAACUCGACUCCGUGAAGUCGGAAUCGCUAGUAAUCGUGCAUCAGAAUGGCACGGUGAAUACGUUCCCGGGCCUUGCACACACCGCCCGU